UGUGCGGGUUACACACCCGUUACACAUCUGUACCUGGGUGUAAAACGUUCUCCUGCUCAUCCCUGAGCUUUGCGUGCGGGUUACACACCCGUUACACAUCUGUACCUGGGUGUAAAACGUUCUCCUGCUCAUCCAAGCCUUGUGUGUGGGUUACACACCCGUUACACAUUUGUACCUGAGUGUAAAAGGUUCUCCUGCUCGUCCCCGGGCCUUGUGUGCGGGUUACACACUCGUUAAGGGUUUGCACCCAGGUGUAAAAGGUUCUCCUGCUCAUUCCUGGUCCUUGCGUGUGGGUUACACACUCGUUAAGGGUUUGCACGCUGGUUUAAAAGGUUCUCCUGCUCAUUCCUGGGCCUUGCGUGUGGGUUACACACUCGUUAAGGGUUUGCACGCUGGUUUAAAAGGUUCUCCUGCUCGUCCCUGGGCCUUACGUGUGGGUUACACACUCGUUAAGGGUUUGCACGCUGGUGUAAAAGGUUCUCCUGCUUGUCCCCGGGCCUUGUGUGCGGGUUACACACUCACUACGUGUUUGUACACCGGUGUAAAAGGCUCUCGCACUUCAUGGUCACCCAUGGCUCUCCAUGGUCAUCCAGGGUCCAUGGUCAUCCACAGCUCUGUGGUCAUCCAGGGUCCAUGGUCAUCCACAGCUCCGUGGUCACCCACAGCUCCGUGGUCACCCCCAGCUCCAUGGUCACCCACAGUUCUCCAUGGUCAUCCAGGGUCCAUGGUCACCCACAGUUCUCCAUGGUCACCCAGGGUCUGUGGUCAUCCAGGGUCCGUGGUCACCCCCAGCUCCAUGGUCACCCACAUCUCCAUGGUUGGUCACCCCCAUCCCUGUGGUCACCUCACCACUGUCACGCCAGCUUAGCUGCUGCUGGCUCCUCCUCUGCUGAUCUUGGAGGAUUUUUCCAAAACGGAAUCAUGGAAUCUUGGAAUUCCGGGAAUUUCUGGGCUGGAAGAGACCUCCGAGGUCAUCGGGUCCAGCCCAGCCCAACACCUCAAGCAAGGCCUGGCACCCAGUGCCACGCCCAGGCUUUUGGAACACCCCAGGGACGGUGACGCCACCACCCCCGGGCAGAACAUUCCAGAACUUCAUCACUCCCAUAAAGAACUUUCUCCUGACAUCCGACCGAGACUUCCCGCGGCACAGCUCAGAGCUGCGUCCUGGUGUUCACGAAACCCACCCGUGACACCGGGAGUGACACAACCCA
rnacentral:lncRNA from 1 species